rnacentral:rRNA from 1 species
UAGGGAAUCUUCCAUAAUGGGCGCAAGCCUGAUGGAGCAACACCGCGUGAGUGAAGAAGGGUUUCGGCUCGUAAAGCUCUGUUGUUAAAGAAGAACACGUAUGAGAGUAACUGUUCAUACGUUGACGGUAUUUAACCAGAAAGUCACGGCUAACUACGUGCCAG